rnacentral:tRNA from 1 species
GGGCAUGUGGCGGAACUGGUAUACGCGUACGUCUCAGAAGCGUAUGGGGUAACCCAUGAGAGUUCAAAUCUCUCCAUGCCCACGA